rnacentral:lncRNA from 1 species
AAAAGUUUGAAUUAAAAUCAAUUAUUCAUUCAUUAGUUAUUGAGAUUUAAAUCUCUUGUAGGAAUUACUUGGAAUUUAUUAGGGUUCGGUUUAGGAUUAGGAUUAGGAUUAGGAUUUUGGAUUUGAUUUAAAGUUUAUUUAAGAUUAGGAUUUGAUUUAGAUUAGGAUUUGAUUAGAAUUUGUCUAAGAUUUGACUAGAAUUUAUUUAGAAUUUGGUUAGGGCUUAUUUAGGAUUUAUUUAGAAUUUGAGUAAGAUUUAUUUAAGAUUUGGUUAGGAUUUUUUUAAGAUUUGAUUACGAUUUGAUUAAAAUUUGACUAGGAUUUGUCUAAGAUUUGGUUAGGGCUUAUUUAGGAUUUAUUUAGAGUUUGAUUAGGAUUUGAUUAGGAUUUGACUAGGAUUUGAUUAGGGCUUAUUUGAGAUUUGUCUAGGAUUUGAUUAGAAUUUAUUUAGGAUUUCACUAGGAUUUAUUUAGAAUUUGAUUAAGAUUUGACUAGGAUUUGAUUAAGAUUUGUUUAGGAUUUGGUUAGGAUUUAUUUAGGGAUUGACUAAGAUUUGAAAAGGAUUUGACCAAGAUUUGAUUAAGAUUUGAUUAAGAUUUGAUUAGAUUUUGAUUGAGGUUUAAUUAAGAUUUAUUUUAAUAUUUUAUUAAGAUUUCUAUUUUAAUAUAUAUUUUUUGAAUUUCUAUGUUAUCCUUUUGUAAUUUCUCUAAAGAGUCUCUAGGAAUUUUUUGUGUCUCUUGUAUAAUUUUUUUAAAAUUUUAAUUGAAUUUAAUUGAUUUUGAUUAUAUCUGCUAAUCUCUAAUUACAAUUUAUUUAAGAAUCUAUUUGAAUUAUUAGAACUUGUUGUUGUAACUUUCCUUUCAUCUUCUAUAGCUAAGUG